AAUAGAUACCCGGGUAGUCCACGCCGUAAACGAUGGAUACUAGGUGUAGGAGGUAUCGACCCCUUUCUGUGCCGGAGUUAACACAAUAAGUAUCCCACCUGGGGAGUACGGCCGCAAGGUUGAAACUCAAAGGAAUUGACGGGGGCCCGCACAAGCAGUGGAGUAUGUGGUUUAAUUCGAAGCAACGCGAAGAACCUUACCAGGGCUUGACAUACCAUUGACCGCUCUAGAGAUAGAGCUUUCCUUCGGGACAAUGGAUACAGGUGGUGCAUGGUUGUCGUCAGCUCGUGUCGUGAGAUGUUGGGUUAAGUCCCGCAACGAGCGCAACCCUGUUGUUAGUUGCCAUCAUUUAGUUGGGCACUCUAGCGAGACUGCCGGUGAUAAAUCGGAGGAAGGUGGGGACGACGUCAAAUCAUCAUGCCCCUUAUGUCCUGGGCUACACACGUACUACAAUGGCUAUUACAGAGCGAUGCAAUACCGUAAAGGUGGAGCCAAACGCUAAAAAAUAGCCCCAGUUCAGAUUGUGGGCUGAAACCCGCCCACA
rnacentral:rRNA from 1 species